GUUGUAUGUUUUUGUCUGUGUUUUUUUACUCCUACUAGGCGCUAGUGCUCAGCAGUGGUGGAGACAGGUGUUUUCCAUCUCGGUGAUUGAGUCCUGGAGUACUUAAGCAGGAGACAGCCAGUAUCUCGUCGCUCAAGUAUUAGCCUCUGUUGUCGCUACUCAGCCAGCCUCUUAUUAAUUAAGUUUAUGUGUACUUUGCCUCCGACAACGUUUAACUUGUUCUUUGUUCUUCUUAGUGAACUGAACCGGCGACUACCUGGACGUUACCCAGGCUGGCCCAGGUGGCUUCGUUUCACACUAGGCGUGCUCCUAGGAUCUCCCCAGGAAGGAUCUUCCACACACACACCUACCCGACACCAAAUUCUGGAACUACUCCCGCUAGCUGCUUCCGGACCCGGAUUCUCCAGAGACCAUUCAACCUAACCUGUCCACCCUCCAUCUCUCCGCUGACGCUUCACCUGCACUCCAAGCUCUAACCCAAGUAACUAAGAAAUCACUGGACUUACCAUUGUCUCCAUAUUCACUUCUUCUCCAGUCCAAAUCCCUCUCCUCCUGGCGGAUUGCCUACUCCCUCCUAAUAAGAGACAGUUCACAUUUAAGUUCCGAUUUUGUUUACUGUGCCACUUACCUGUCGUUUUUCCUCAGAGUUGUUCCCGCUCUCCAUACCGAUCCAUUCUCCUUGUCAAAUCCUGGUCAUUUUUGCCUGCUACUAACCCUCUUCCACCAGUAGGGGCGUUAAGAGCUGAGGAGCUUGUCGUCAGGUGUUUUGCAUAAUUGUCAUCAGCUGGAGGACUAUAAGAAGGAGGCGAGCCAGUACUUCGAUGCCUGAGUGUUUGGCCUCUUCGUGGUAUUUUACCUGGCCAAAUCAUGGUUUUGAUUAUUGCUUGUCUGAGAAGAUUCUAAUUCUUGUUCCUUGACUAAUAUUUUGUUUUUGUCUCAGGUUGACAGAUAUCUGAAGGAACUUUCCAAUAGCUUUUUGGACUCUGGAUUCUUGUUUUUGUUCCACUGGCAACCAGAUUAGAGAUUGUUCUCACAGCUUCAUGCGAACCCUGUCCACCCUCCUCCAAGCCUCUCAGGACUCAUCUGCUACGGCAGUGCUGCAUAGCCACCUCUUACCAGGAUCACAACCUCUCUCCCUGGCAGACUUAACUCUACCCAAUUCUCCCUGCUACUACGGUUUCCUGCACCAGAUUUUCUAAUAAACGUUUUUACUAAA